GGUCCUGGAGAUAAGAGGCCGGUCUAUGGCUGCUAGCUAUGGGCCAGGAUCCCUUAAGUCUUCCCACUAUACCAACCCCUAAACCAGAGAUCAGUGGUAGGUAGGUAGGUCGGUCCUGGGCCCAUCAGUGCCUGGGGGAAAUCUCAGUGAAUGGAGCAUACUACUUACCCAGCAGAUCCAUCCUAAUGGGUGCAAUUUAAAUAAUGAAAAGAUAAUAAUAAUAAUAGUAAUAAUAAUAACAGUAAUAAUAAUAAUCAUAGCAACAAUAGCAAAAGAGGCAAACAAUCGCUUUCACAGAACAGAUGAGCCCAGAAUGAGUACAGAAUGUACCCUCAUCUUGCCAGCAGAUUCCACUUCCCCAGGGGGUUUGGAAAUCUGUCUCCUCCAGAGCAAUUAUGCGUACAAUAGACUGGAAAAACACGUGUACGAGAGAUGGGGCCUUGUGGUAACAGCUGAGCUCAUCCAGACUGAAAACACAGAUGCUAUAAGCCCAGUCAAAGGCUAGACAUGAUGGAGCCUGCCUGAAUCCCCGGUACUAAGGACAUAGAGGCAGAAGGAUCAAUCAGAAGCCUCUGAUGGAGAACUACCACUAAACCCACACCAGAACUGAAGGAGCCAAGGCGCGGAGAGGUGCGGUCAGCUAUCAGAGAGGAGGAGGCUGGGGCGGUAUUCAGAGAGAAAGUUCCAGGACUUGGUAUUCAUCUGCUCUGCCAUCUCCUGGCCCCGUGGAGAUAGAAGCUGUCAGAGAUGCAGGUCUCAGUUCCUGCUGCCCAUCUGUGUUGUUUGAGGAACAUGGCUGGGAUGAGGAUUCCUGGCUGGGGACACGGUUCAGUGGCAGUGCUGGCCUAACACACACUGGGGUCCAGCCUCAGCAGCACACACAUGAACCAAUGCACACACGCAUGCAUGUGCACACACACAAACCAGUUCCUGCCUUGGCUGGUGGGGGUUGGGGGGGGGGGAAGGUCCUCAGAGCUGGCAGGCACAGGUGUUAUGAUGGGAGCUGCCUACGUGCCCAGGGACAGACAAACAUGUGUCCCGUCUUGGGGGUCACUAGGUUAACGCAGACAAAGGCACUCCUUUUUCUUUGAAGGAAAGCCUGUGACUCCCAGGUGAUAAUCGGGCUGCAGAGAAGGGUUUGCCAGGGUGAUUAAUGGGUGGUGAAUGUAAUUAGCUAGUAAUAAUACUCCAAGGUCAAGGCUGCAGUGAUUCAGGCUGCCACGUGCAUGGGUGAUUAAUAUUCAGGGGCAGUAUCAGGCACAAGGCUCCUUCCUGUAGCCUUUGGGAAGGGUCAUUUCAAAGACUAUGGGGGCUGGGCUCCUGGACUGGGAGCAGAGCUUCUGUUUGGGGCAGAAGGGUGGGUCCUGAGUCCUGGGCUAUCUCAGAUAUUUUGGAGCAGGUUUCCUGCCAGCUUAUCAGAUGACCAAUUCACUUGUAAGAAGUGGCCCAGCCAGCCACCCACUUUGAGACUCGGGCCAAGAUCGGAGGCAUUGGUCUAGGGCAGUGGUUUUUCAACCUGUGGGUGGAUCACCCGGGGAUCAAACGAUCCUCCCAGAGGAGUCCGCUAAGACCAUUGAAAAGCACAGAUAUUUACAUUGUGAUUCAUAACAGUAGCAAAAUCACAGUUACAAAGUAGCAACAAAAAUAAUUUUAUGAUUGGGGGUCACCACCCCAUGAGGAUUAAAGGGUCCCAGCAUUAGGAAGGCUGAGAAUCGCUGCACUGGAGUCUUCUGACUCUCCCAGCCCAAAUACAGGCCAUCAGCUAAGACCAGGGCUGCUUCUCCUAAGGAGGGCACUGGUUCUUAGCUUGGUUUGAGCUCUUUGCUCUGCCUCCUCUGCUGCUACCACCUGACAUGGGUGUGACCAUUGUUCUCUGACCUCCAGUUACCCUGCCUGUCCCUCCUCUUUCAUUCUGGCCUCAUGCGCUCUGUUGGCCCCAUGGUAGCCAGAGAGAUCCAUUAAAACCUUCUGUCCGAUCAUUUUCUAUCUCAGCUUAAAACUGCAACAGCUCCCAAUGUCUUUAGAAUAAAAUCAACACAUCUGGCCAAGGCCCACUGUGGCCUGUCCACUCCCAGGCCCCUGUCUGGCAUCCUCUGCUGCCUGUCUCUGCUACAGGCUAGAUGCAUGCUGAGCUCAGAGCCUUACUUGCAGGCUUGCUGUCCGGAAAAGUCCCUUUGCUAGUGUGCUGCUGGGCUGGCCCGUGCCUACUAGUCAAGCUUCCACUUAAAACAUCAACUCUUUGAACAGGCCAUUGGCUCCUCACCAAGAGCGGCUAAGCCUCGGUCAUUCUGUUUCCCUAAGGGCAGAGCUCUCAGCCUGCUCCUGGCUCUUUUCAUACCUGUGCUUAGUAGGUGCACCGCAGUGCAAUAGGUCCCCCUGUGCACCACAGUCCUCCUGGCCUACUAAGUUCUCUGCUGUAUCCACAGCCCCACAUGGUGCAAAAGACCUUUGUCAUCUCUCCAUGAGAUCUGUUUUCAGGAACUUGGAGUCUUUCCUUCUCAGGAGACAUGGUGCGGAAGGGGCAGGGGGGCAGACAAGCUAACUUGCUAACUUCCCCUCAACCCUGAUUAUGAACUGAGCUCUGACAAUGCUUAGAACAGUCUCUCUGAGGUUUACGCUUAGCUCAGUCCUUCUCAGAGGUCACCUCCUUGGGGAAGUUCUUGCAAAUGCCACCCCAUGACCUGUGUUGUCUUGGCAGCAGCGAUUCCUACCAAUCACCAUUUAGACGGGGGCAGUUUUGGAGCGAGAGAUGGAGCUCAGACGGAGCACUUGCUUAGCAUGCACGAAGCCCUGGCUUCCAUCCCCAGCACUGCACAAACCAAGCAUGGUGGUGCACGGUGGUGCAUGGUGGAUUACAGAAUCCUAGCACUUCAGAGGUAGAGGCGGGAGGAUCACCCUGGUACUUUGUCUCAAGCAAACAAAUAAAAAUAAAUAUGUUGGUAGUUUGGCUGCCUACUAUUUUUUACUGUCUACCUCCCUUUCUAGAAUACAAAUUCCAAACCCACUGUGCAUCCCUAACUGUCUGGCCCUGCUUGAAACAAAGAGAGGUUUAUAACCUGCAUGGAUGAAGGGAGGACUCUGCAGGAAUGGAGAGGUGGUCCACUGUUGGGAGAGACCCAAACUGUGGAGGGUUGGUCUGGAUGAAGUCCU